UAUCCAAAUGUAAGACUCCUAUGAAUCACGGAAAAAAAAAGGGGUCAAUUAUCAAUAUCUUCUAACCAUGCUUUUUAAUAAUUGUUAUUUCUCAAUUGGCUUGAUACGUAAAGGUUCAACCUCUCCAGGACAGCAACAUUGCCAUCCAUGUUCACGAGGUAAGUGGCCAUACAAAUACGGAUUUUUCUGCAAAUCCUAUUUAGUAACCCUUAUACAUUAUACGUAUCUUUUAACAGGAAAUACAAAGAGUAGAAGCAAUGGCUAGAAAAGAGAAGGCAACGUACAUAUGCAAUGGAAAUGAAAACUCACAGGUAUCACACGUUGACCCACAUUAUAUAGCUUUUUCAUUAGACAAAAAAAAACAUCGAUACCCCUUUCCAAUCAACUUGCUAAUGUGGUACUGCUACUUUUUUAAGGAGUAUAGUUUGAUAAAUAGUGUGGUACUGCUACUUUUUGAGACUCUUAUGAAUCAAAAACAUUGUCGACUAUCUACAUCUUCUAACAAUGCUUUUUAAUUUGUGCUAUUUCUCAAUUGACUUGAUACGUAAAGGUUCAACCUCUCCGAGAUAGCAACAUUGCCGUCCAUGUUCACGAGGAAAUACAAAGACUAGAAGCAAUGGCUAGAAAAGGGAAGGCAACGUACGUAUGCAGUGGAAAGGAAAACUCACAGGUAACCAGCGGUAAUAUGAUAUCAAAAGCAACAUUGGCCCAACGUGCACGUCGAGACCGAGAGAGAAUUCAAUCGGGACAACGGUCGCAAAUAGAUCAAACCAGGGAAUGUUCAGGACCAAUCCCACAUGUGAACUCUCCAUCUAUAACACCCAAUCGUCGUCCUCUCAACUGCUUCGGACAGGGAUCAAAUGUCACUAAAUCUGCAAAAAAGUGACAAAGGGUUGCACAAACUUCCAUGUCUCCAUCCUUCAUGCUAAACACAUCUUCCCCCCGCACACG